GGUGAGGGGGAGGAGGAGGGAGCCCACCUCCAGAGGCCUGCCAAGCCAAGGGUUCCAAGAGAUACACCAGUGUCUGGCUCAUCUGACUAAAGAAGCUCCGGAGAAAGCUGCCCCAGGACUAUGUUAGUAACUACACCCAAUUGCUCCCCAGGAGCAGUUCAGAGCAUCAGAACUGCCAGUCCAAGUUCAGGCUGGUGUGAGCCCAUGUCCUAGGGGUGCCUGCCAGCCACCUGGAGCAGCAGGCUCCCUCACCUGCAGGUACAAGAAUUCCUCUAUAAGCAUCCUCAGGGAGACAAAUCCCAGCUGGCGCACUCAAAGCAGCCUUGCAUUUCCUCUUCUGGAUGAAGUCCAGCUGAAAGAGCUCAAGGGGGGGGGGGGGUUCCUUGGGCUGCCCCAUAGGCAAGGGGCAGUGUGGCAAACGUGUCCCCUCUUGGAUCCAACCCCUUCCUACCCCUUGCUAGUGAAGAAUUGACCAGCAUGCCCCCCCAACACACACCCUCAUCUUCUUCCCAAGGGACUCUGCUGUUGAUUUCAUAAAUCUACUUUAAGUAGGAAAUAUGUAUUUCUGUGAGAAUGUAUUUCUGUCAGUGGGUAGAAGUGGAAUUCUCUUCCUUAUUUCACAAUGGAGAUGAGCUCUGAAACUUCCAGGGGCUCCAAGUAAACCGUUAGAGCACACAUUUCCAACAUGAGCUAUUGGCUUUCUCUGGAAAGGGGAGUCGAGGCCGUUUUGGGGAUUAGAAGGAUGGGAGUGGGGAGAAUUCUUUCAUUCUGGGAACGAGUGGUUUAAUUUCAGAAGCCUCCAGAGCUCUGUGUUUUCUAUGCUGUUCUAGUGUGGAUUAUGGUUUAAGCUGUUAUUAUGAUAACAACCAAUUGUUGUAGGAGAAAUUCUCCACACUGUUUCCCCUCAAUAGGUAGAGGAACGUGGUACCUUUUAUAAAGGAAUCAGUCUCUCCCAUGUGUCUCUGGCCACAUGUGGCCAGUGCUGGCUUUCUUGAUACUUGAGGAAAAGGAGAUGUUUUAAGAAAGUGUCUUUAUAAGAUCAUCCCUUGGGAUGCUGAGAGGGACUUGGUUAAUAGCAAUAAAAACUGAUUAAAAGUC